UACGUAGGGGGCAAGCGUUGUCCGGAAUCAUUGGGCGUAAAGAGCGCGUAGGCGGCCCUGUAAGUCCGCUGUGAAAGUCAAGGGCUCAACCCUUGGAUGCCGGUGGAUACUGCAGGGCUAGAGUCCGGAAGAGGCGAGUGGAAUUCCUGGUGUAGCGGUGAAAUGCGCAGAUAUCAGGAGGAACACCGAUGGCGAAAGCGGCUCUCUGGAACGGUACUGACGCUGAGACGCGAAAGCGUGGGGAGCGAACAGG
rnacentral:rRNA from 1 species